CCUACGGGCGGCAGCAGUGGGGAAUAUUGGACAAUGGGGGCAACCCUGAUCCAGCCAUGCCGCGUGUGUGAAGAAGGCCCUCGGGUUGUAAAGCACUUUCAGUGAGGAAGAACGCCUGGUGGUUAAUACCCAUCAGGAAAGACAUCACUCACAGAAGAAGCACCGGCUAACUCCGUGCCAGCAGCCGCGGUAAUACGGAGGGUGCGAGCGUUAAUCGGAAUUACUGGGCGUAAAGCGCGCGUAGGUGGCUUGAUAAGCCGGUUGUGAAAGCCCCGGGCUCAACCUGGGAACGGCGUCCGGAACUGUCAAGCUAGAGUGCAGGAGAGGAAGGUAGAAUUCCCGGUGUAGCGGUGAAAUGCGUAGAGAUCGGGAGGAAUACCAGUGGCGAAGGCGGCCUUCUGGACUGACACUGACACUGAGGUGCGAAAGCGUGGGUAGCAAACAGGAUUAGAUACCCGGGUAGUC
rnacentral:rRNA from 1 species